GGCCCUGUGACACCACAGCCAUGACAUCAUGGCUGUGUGACACCAGGCCCUGUGACACCACAGCCAUAUGACACCAGGCCCUGUGACACCAUGGCCAUGUGAAACCAGGCCGUGUGACACCAUGGCUGUGUGACCCCAGGGCCGUGCAGAGAAAUAACUGUGACUGAAGCUCGGGUUUAAAAGACCAGUGGAAGGGAGCUCUCAGCGCCGUGCUGGCAGGACUCUGGCACACAACCGUCAUCUUUGAAGGAGAGGGAAGGGGAAACGCGGGGUUCUGGCAGCUGCGGCGCGGUGAGGCCGCAUGUCCCAGGCCCCAGCAGCAGGCAGGCAUGCCUGAAUGUCCUUGCGAUGAAAAAAGCCUGUUUAUUUACCCAGGAUGCAGACCAACAUGUAACUAUUUGGCAUUUAAAUGCUUGUGCCUGUAGUCUUUUGUUUUGGAAAGGGCAGCAAAUUAAAAUCCCACCAGCAGACAUCCAGAGCAGGUCUGUGGGGAGAUUGGGGCCACAUAGCUGAGCACCUGUAAGAACGAUUCACUGAGCUAAUGAGUGAUGGAUUACUAAUAGGACAACUGUUCAUAUUUCAGCAACUGAAGUUGCUCAUACACAAAGGAAGACACAGAGAGUCAGCUUAGAAAUGCACAGCGAGACAGGCCCUGAUCAGAGAAGAGGCAGCAGUACCCUGGGGCUGCGGGAGGCCUGGUGGCGGCACGGCCUGCGGAACUGGCCAAGGCCUGGGCUGGGGCCAUGCCCUGGGGGUACUGGAGGGCUGCCCCCAAACUUUACAUUUUCUUUUUCCAUGAUGAUGGCUUGGGCCUGCGUCACUUGGUCUUGCUCAAACAGGGAGACGUUUUGACUAAAAUUCCAGGAAAUGUGGUAAAACCAGUCAUGACCUAUGGACAGGAGCGUGCUUAAUCUAGGGUGAUACAAUUGCAGUCGUGGCAUACAAACAAAGAAGGACUAUUUGGAUAAUUUAUGUUUUUCUUUCCUUCAGAGAGCACUGUUCUAGUUUAGAGCAUCAAUUUACACUCUGUGUGUCAAGGAAUGAGUGGAAAUUAAGUCAAACAGUGUAAAACUCCUAGAGUUCAAAUGGAUUUAGAAAGGUGGAUCUCAUCAUUGUUCACUGCUCUCUUACACAUCCAUUUAUUAUUCAGGAAACCAAACGAA